rnacentral:rRNA from 1 species
UACGGGGGGGGCAAGCGGUUGUUCGGAAUUACUGGGCGUAAAGGGCUCGUAGGUGGCCAACUAAGUCAGACGUGAAAUCCCUCGGCUCAACCGGGGAACUGCGUCUGAUACUGGAUGGCUUGAAUCCGGGAGAGGGAUGCGGAAUUCCAGGUGUAGCGGUGAAAUGCGUAGAUAUCUGGAGGAACACCGGUGGCGAAGGCGGCGUUCUGGACUGCAUCUGACACUGAAAGACGAAAGCCAGGGGAGCAAACGGG